rnacentral:rRNA from 1 species
AGUGAACGCUGGCGGCAGGCCUAACACAUGCAAGUCGAGCGGCAGCGCGGGGGCAACCCUGGCGGCGAGCGGCGGACGGGUGAGGAAUGCAUCGGAAUCUACCUCGUUGUGGGGGAUAACGUAGGGAAACUUACGCUAAUACCGCAUACGACCUACGGGUGAAAGUGGGGGACCGCAAGGCCUCACGCGAUGAGAUGAGCCGAUGCCGGAUUAGCUAGUUGGCGGGGUAAAGGCCCACCAAGGCGACGAUCCGUAGCUGGUCUGAGAGGAUGAUCAGCCACACUGGAACUGAGACACGGUCCAGACUCCUACGGGAGGCAGCAGUGGGGAAUAUUGGACAAUGGGCGCAAGCCUGAUCCAGCCAUGCCGCGUGUGUGAAGAAGGCCUUCGGGUUGUAAAGCACUUUUGUUGGGGAAGAAACCGGCCGGAUUAAUACUCCGGUUGAAUGACGGUACCCAAAGAAUAUGCACCGGCUAACUUCGUGCCAGCAGCCGCGGUAAUACGAAGGGUGCAAGCGUUACUCGGAAUUACUGGGCGUAAAGCGUGCGUAGGCGGUUUGUUAAGUCUGCUGUGAAAGCCCUGGGCUCAACCUGGGAACUGCAGUGGAUACUG